rnacentral:rRNA from 1 species
AUUGAACGCUGGCGGCAUGCUUUACACAUGCAAGUCGAACGGUAACAGGUUAAGCUGACGAGUGGCGAACGGGUGAGUAAUGCAUCGGAACGUGCCCGAUCGUGGGGGAUAACGCAGCGAAAGCUGCGCUAAUACCGCAUACGAUCUGAGGAUGAAAGCGGGGGACCGUAAGGCCUCGCGCGAUCGGAGCGGCGGAUGUACGAUUAGGUAGUUGGUGGGGUAAAGGCCCACCAAGCCGACGAUCUGUAGCUGGUCUGAGAGGACGACCAGCCACACUGGGACUGAGACACGGCCCAGACUCCUGCGGGAGGCAGCAGUGGGGAAUUUUGGACAAUGGGCGAAAGCCUGAUCCAGCAAUGCCGCGUGCAGGAAGAAGGCCUUCGGGUUGUAAACUGCUUUUGUACGGAGCGAAAAGGUCCUUUCUAAUACAAGGGGCUCAUGACGGUACCGUAAGAAUAAGCACCGGCUAACUACGUGCCAGCAGCCGCCGUAA